ensembl:lncRNA
UUAAAUCAUGUUUUAAAAUCAACUAUGUAUCAAAUAAAAAUAUCAUAUAUUAAAAUCCAAAAAAUAAAACGUAUAUCGUGUUGUUUGUAAGCAUCUCAUUUGCAUCUCUUUUGCUGGCUCUCUCUCUCUCUCUCUCUCUCUCUCUCUCACACACACACACACACACACACACACACACACACUGACUGCUGAGAGGGAGAAACAGGUCGCGGCAUCAGCUCUCACAAACUCUUUAAACUUUAAACGCUUGACCCGCGCGCGGAGGAGCGGAACCCUUGACGCCGCCCGGAGCGUCUUUACCGGCACUUGA